CAGCCCAGGCGUCCUCUUGGGUGAUUUGGUCCUCGUCGGCGUCGGCGUCCACGUCGGCGUCGAGGUCUGCAUCGGCAUCCAUGGGGUCGUACUCGUCGGCCAUGGGGGCAGGAGUAGGUUUCCGGCGAUCGGGACGGAGUUACAGUUCGGGCGAUCCGAGUGGGAAACCCUAGGGGAAGGGGUAGGUUUCCCGCAAUCCGG
rnacentral:misc_RNA from 1 species